CCUUAUAAGAUAGUUUUUGUCGAGCCUGCAACUUUUGUUGCAGAAAGCUCGACAUAGGGAUAGUGAUCCGGCGGCGGCGGCGGCGGCUACGGCGGCGGCUACGGCGGCGGCGUUAGCUAACUUCUUAAAAGGUUUAUAUUUUAGAAGGUGAAAGACCUGGAUGCUUCAUACUUUGUAUAUAGAUGCCUCAUGUUACGAAGUUUCCGUCAGUCACAUGUCCAAUGUCCUUGAC
rnacentral:lncRNA from 1 species